UACGGAGGGUGCAAGCGUUAUCCGGAUUCACUGGGUUUAAAGGGUGCGUAGGUGGCUUGGUAAGUCAGUGGUGAAAUCUCCGGGCUUAACCCGGAAACUGCCAUUGAUACUAUCAGUCUUGAAUACCGUGGAGGUCAGUAGAAUAUGUCAUGUAGCGGUGAAAUGCUUAGAUAUGACAUAGAAUACCACUUGCGAAGGCAGCUGGCUACACGAAUAUUGACACUCAGGCACGAAAGCGUGGGGAGCAAACAGG
rnacentral:rRNA from 1 species